AGGGCGGUGCUGGAACGGCUAAG
rnacentral:siRNA from 1 species